UCCGUAGGUGAACCUGCGGAGGGAUCAUUACUGAGUUUACGCUCUACAACCCUUUGUGAACAUACCUAUAACUGUUGCUUCGGCGGGUAGGGUCUCCGUGACCCUCCCGGCCUCCCGCCCCCGGGCGGGUCGGCGCCCGCCGGAGGAUAACCAAACUCUGAUUUAACGACGUUUCUUCUGAGUGGUACAAGCAAAUAAUCAAAACUUUUAACAACGGAUCUCUUGGUUCUGGCAUCGAUGAAGAACGCAGCGAAAUGCGAUAAGUAAUGUGAAUUGCAGAAUUCAGUGAAUCAUCGAAUCUUUGAACGCACAUUGCGCCCGCCAGCAUUCUGGCGGGCAUGCCUGUUCGAGCGUCAUUUCAACCCUCAAGCUCUGCUUGGUGUUGGGGCCCUACAGCUGAUGUAGGCCCUCAAAGGUAGUGGCGGACCCUCCCGGAGCCUCCUUUGCGUAGUAACUUUACGUCUCGCACUGGGAUCCGGAGGGACUCUUGCCGUAAAACCCCCAAUUUUCCAAAGGUUGACCUCGGAUCAGGUAGAAGCCCGAC
rnacentral:rRNA from 1 species